rnacentral:rRNA from 1 species
ACGGAGGGUGCAAGCGUUGUUCGGAAUUACUGGGCGUAAAGCGCGCGUAGGCGGUUUGUUAAGUCUGAUGUGAAAGCCCCGGGCUCAACCUGGGAAGUGCAUUGGAAACUGUCAGACUUGAGUACGAGAGAGGGUAGUGGAAUUCCUGGUGUAGGAGUGAAAUUCGUAGAUAUCAGGAGGAACACCGGUGGCGAAGGCGACUGCCUGGAUGAAUACUGACGCUGAGGCGCGAAAGCGUGGGUAGCAAACAG